rnacentral:rRNA from 1 species
UGGUAGGAUAGAGGCCUACCAUGGUGGUAACGGGUAACGGGGUGUUAGGGCACGACACCGGAGAGGGAGCCUGAGAAACGGCUACCACAUCCAAGGAUGGCAGCAGGCGCGCAAAUUACCCAAUCCCGACACGGGGAGGUAGUGACAAUAAAUAACAAUACGGGGUUCUUUCGGAUCUCGUAAUUGGAAUGAGUACAAUUUAAAUCUCUUAACGAGGAACAAUUGGAGGGCAAGUCUGGUGCCAGCAGCCGCGGUAAUUCCAGCUCCAAUAGCGUAUAUUAAAGUUGUUGCAGUUAAAAAGCUCGUAGUUGAAUUUCGGGGUUAGUAGGUUGGUCAUGCCUCUGGUACGUACUGGUCUCACUGAUUCCUCCUUCCUGAUGAGCCGUAAUGCCAUUAAUUUGGUGUUGCGGGGAAUUUGGACUGUUACUUUGAAAAAAUUAGAGUGUUUAAAGCAAGCUAACGCUUGAAUACAUUAGCAUGGAAUAAUGAAAUAGGACGUUCGAUCCUAUUUUGUUGGUUUCUAGGAUUGACGUAAUGAUUAAUAGGGAUAGUUGGGGGCAUUAGUAUUCAAUUGUCAGAGGUGAAAUUCUUGGAUUUAUUGAAGACUAACUACUGCGAAAGCAUUUGCCAAGGAUGUUUUCAUUAAUCAAGAACGAAAGUUAGGGGAUCGAAGACGAACAGAUACCGUCGUAAUCUUAACCAUAAACUAUGCCGACUAGGGAUCGGAU